ensembl:lncRNA
AAGGCAAUUAUCAAACUCACUCUCCAAAAGCCUCUUCUCUUCCUUUCAUGUGUCACACUUGGAAGUGUGGUUUCUUUUAGUGAAUCGGUUCAUUGUAAAUGAACCAGUUCAAAAACAAUUUGGUAACACUUUACAAUAAAGUUCAGUUUGCCAUAAAACAAAAUGCUGUUAAAAAAAACUGUUCAUUGUCAGGUCACAAUACUUAAUGAGCAGAUGUUAAUAAAUUAAACCAUAUUUUGAAGUGUUACAAAUGAUCACAGAUUCUUUUGAAUGAAUAUAAUUUUUUGUUGCAAAAUAUUUAGUACUGUUCAUUAUCAUUCAUCAUAUUCUUGAUUUGCUUGUAGCCAUAUUUUGUAUCAGAUGAACAAUGCUCUGACGAAAUAAUUAAAUUUAAUUUGAUUAGUUAUGUAUUCAAAAAUAUAUUGCUCACUGAAACUGUUUCUGUCAGUAGUUUAUUUUAUGGCUAAUUUCUAUUUUGUACUUAAACUAAGUUUUCAAGUAGCUGUACAUAGUAUUUAGUACAUUUGGCCAUUUUCUCUUUGCUCACUCUCCUCCCAACUUAUUUAUUUCUCUGCUCUUUUUCUCUUUGUCGCUCUGUUGUUCUCUCUUUUCAUGGAUACAGUUGCUGAAUUUAGAUGUUUUUCAGGUGAGCUGGUAAACUCUGAAGCACUUGCUCUGAUUUGCAACCCCCAUGUGAAAAAUGUCCCCUGGCUUGGCAUCUCCAUGUUGAAGGCCACAGAAAUCCAUCCCAAUAUGACUCCACAGCGAGACCUUGGUGCUGUGUCCUGUGAAUCCUGCCCGGAAUUGCUGUUUUAUUGAGGCAAUAUUCUCUCUAAAUAAUAAUCAGACUUUUAUUGCGUCGUUCAUGCUCGGAGCUGGGGGAGUUUCUUGCUCCAUUGCUUUAUUGUGCCCCAGUUGCUCUUUUCAGCUCUGUUCUCUAGUCUGAGGAAAAUCCGUAAGAGAAAAGCAUAUGUGUGAGCCUGUAUUCAUCAUUAUUUACCAUUUGAUCAGCUAAAGCAACUUGACAUUUUUCCCGCACCUCUCUCUUUUGUGUUUUGAUCAUAAUAAUUUAGGGAUUUAAAAAAUUUUCUAUGAAAAGUUGCUGUUCCCUGAAGACACAAUCCUAAAUGGCAUAUAGAGGUGAAAUUGGUCAUUUCAAAAGUUUUCGGAUGUAGACAUGCAAAACAAUUUGAAUUUCUGAUAAUGAAUCAGUGCUGGGUGCAUAAAUUCUGCUUACUGUCAUAUUCUAAUUAUUCUAAAAUUGAAAUUGCAAAAUGUAACCCAUAGGAUUAUGUAAAGAUAAUAUAUGGUUGGUGUAAGAUUUUUCUUUGUUUACCCAUUUGUUCCAAAC